rnacentral:rRNA from 1 species
UACAGAGGUCCCAAGCGUUGUUCGGAUUCACUGGGCGUAAAGGGUGCGCAGGUGGGCUGGUAAGUUCGAUGUGAAAGCCCCGGGCUUAACCCGGGAAUGGCAUUGGAUACUACUGGUCUGGAGGAUCGGAGGGGGGACUGGAAUUCUUGGUGUAGCAGUGAAAUGCGUAGAUAUCGAGAGGAACACCUGCGGCGAAGGCGGGUUGCUGGGCUGACACUGACGCUGAGGCGCGAAAGCCAGGGGAGCGAACGGG